rnacentral:rRNA from 1 species
GACGUAGGGCGCGAGCGUUGUCCGGAUUUAUUGGGCGUAAAGAGCUCGUAGGCGGUUUGUCGCGUCGGGAGUGAAAUCCACUGGCUUAACUGGUGGCUUGCUUUUCGAUACGGGCAGACUGGAGGUAUGCAGGGGAGAACGGAAUUCCUGGUGUAGCAGUGAAAUGCGUAGAGAUGCGGAGGAACACCGAUGGCGAAGGCAGCCCCCCUGGGCUGACACUGACGCUCAGGCACGAAAGCGUGGGGAGCAAACAGG